GCGGUCAUGGUGGAAUUGGCAGACGCGCUAGAUUCAGGUUCUAGUGGUAGCAAUACCGUGGAGGUUCGAGUCCUCUUGACCGCA
rnacentral:tRNA from 3 species